rnacentral:misc_RNA from 1 species
AGAGCGAUCCCCUCCAGGCCGAGCAGAUACGCCAGCGGGUGCUGGUAGAUCACGGGCGCACAAGUACUGCCGGAAGAAGUCAUCGAACCUCCGAAGAACGCUUCGUAUCGGAUAGCGCUGCGAACGCCGCAGCGAGUGCACAAAGUCGGAGACGGGAGACGUCUCCGCGUUCGAAGCCGCGGCGACGACGCUCACGCCAUCGCCGCUGGCCGGCGAGGAACGCGAUUCGCUCU